AUUGAACGCUGGCGGCAUGCCUUACACAUGCAAGUCGAACGGCAGCAUGAUCUAGCUUCCUAGAUUGAUUGCGAGUGGCGCACGGGUGUGUAAUAUAGCUGAACUUGCUCUGUAGCGGGGGUUAACUAGUCGAAAGAUUAGCUAUUACCGCAUACGACCUGAGGGUGAUGGUUGGGGACUGCAAGGCGGUAUUCUAUAGAAUUGUCCGAUGAUUGAUUAGCUAGUUGGUAAGGUAAAGGCUCACCAAGGCGACGAUCAGUAGCUGAUCUGAGAGGACGAUCAGCCACACUGGAACUGAGACACGGCCCAGACUCCUACGGGAGGCAGCAGUGGGGAAUUUUGGACAAUGGGCGAAAGCCUGAUCCAGCAAUGCCGCGUGUGUGAAGAAGGCCUUCGGGUUGUAAAGCACUUUUGUCCGGAAAGAAAAGGCUCUGGUUAAUCCCUGGGGUCGAUGACGGUACCGGAAGAGUAAGGACCGGCUAACUACGUG
rnacentral:rRNA from 1 species